AUGGCCCUCUUUGAGGAAUUCUAUGUUGAGUCCAUUAACCUCCACCGCCUCAACUACGGGAUCAUCUCCUUGAUCCCAAAGGUCCCUGACGCGUCAGACAUCCGGCAGUUUCGCCCAAUCAUGGUGAUCAAUGUGAUAUUCCGUAUCCUGGCAAAGGGGUACACCAAUAGGGUGGCCCAUUUUGCGGACUGCAUCACCCACCCUGAUUAGUCGGCCUUCAUCCAGGGAUGCUACAUUCUAGAUGGGGUUCUGGUCUUCCAUGAAGUGCUACAUGAGAUCCGCUCCAAAAACCAGAACCCCAUCUUCCUGAAAAUCGACUUCCAUAAAGCCUAUGAUACGGUGAGUUGGGUGUUCCUUCGAGAUGUCCUGCUUAAAAGGGGUUUGAUGACCGCCGGUUUACUAGAGUCAUGCAGAUGGUCUCUUCCGGUCAGACCGUAG
rnacentral:rRNA from 1 species